GGGCCCGCACAAGCGGUGGAGCAUGUGGUUUAAUUCGAUGAUACGCGAGGAACCUUACCAAGGCUUAAAUGUAGAGGGACAGGCGGCGAAAGUUGCCCUUCUUCGGACUCUCUACAAGGUGCUGCAUGGUUGUCGUCAGCUCGUGCCGUGAGGUGUCGGGUUAAGUCCCAUAACGAGCGCAACCCCUAUCUUUAGUUGCCAGCGGUUCGGCCGGGGACUCUAAAGAAACUGCCCGCGCAAGCGGUGAGGAAGGUGGGGAUGACGUCAAAUCAUCACGGCCCUUACGUCUUGGGCUACACACGUGCUACAAUGGUAGUGACAAUGGGCAGCCACUCCGCGAGGAGGCGCAAA
rnacentral:rRNA from 1 species